ensembl:snRNA U2 U2 spliceosomal RNA
AUUGCUUCUCGGCCUUUUGGCUAAGAUCAAGUGUAUAAAGGUAUGCCUCAAAAGACCAUAGACAAAAUCAGUAUUGUUUGGUUGAGAUAGGAUCUCACUAUAUAGUCCAGGCUGGUCUUGAACUCACUAUGUAGCCCAGGUGGCACAAGCUGGCCUUGAACUUGUGCUCUUCCUGCCUCAGC